UGUCCUACGGGAGGCAGCAGUGAGGAAUAUUGGUCAAUGGCCGGGAGACUGAACCAGCCAAGCCGCGUGAGGGAUGACGGUACAAUGGAUUGUAAACCUCUUUUGUCAGGGAGCAAAGGGCGCCACGUGUGCCGGGUUGCGAGUACCUGAAGAAAAAGCAUCGGCUAACUCCGUGCCAGCAGCCGCGGUAAUACGGAGGAUGCGAGCGUUAUCCGGAUUUAUUGGGUUUAAAGGGUGCGCAGGCGGAAUGUUAAGUCAGCGGUAAAAGUUCGGGGCUCAACCCCGGCGUGCCGUUGAAACUGGCG
rnacentral:rRNA from 1 species